rnacentral:rRNA from 1 species
UACGAAGGGGGCUAGCGUUGCUCGGAAUCACUGGGCGUAAAGCGCACGUAGGCGGACUCUUAAGUCGGUGGUGAAAUCCUGGAGCUCAACUCCAGAACUGCCUUCGAUACUGGGAGUCUCGAGUCCGGGAGAGGUGAGUGGAACUGCGAGUGUAGAGGUGAAAUUCGUAGAUAUUCGUAAGAACACCAGUGGCGAAGGCGGCUCACUGGCCCGGUACUGACGCUGAGGUGCGAAAGCGUGGGGAGCAAACAGG